GCCAACCUACAUAACCAGAUGGGAAAAUCUGAUCGCCAUAAGAAGCCACGGCGAAGAGAAAUAGCCUAUCUCGCAAGAUGAUGUGCAGCUGCAUUUGAUUCUCUAAAAGCAUGCUGGAAACAAAUUUCGUGAAAAUCCCUAGCAAGGGUUUUGAUACCUUCAAUCCAACUUGCAGCUUCUCCCUUCCAUGGUGAUUUGUCCCCAAUUAAAUUUAGGGCUUCAAGUGAAUUCGACUCCACCACGAUUCGAUGGACCCUAGCCUUGUUGCCAGCCUCAAACCUUCCCUGAUUGCCAAAAUUUCAGCCAGCAGAGGAGUCUUCACCACAUGAAAAUCAACCAUGGCCGCCACAAUCUCCGCAUUUCCAUCACGAAGCAGAACAUCAACAUCUGAUCCCUCCGCCGACACAGCCGCAUCUGUGUUCAUCUUCAUCACACCCCCUAGGGAAGGAGGCCUCCAUGCAUUCACUCGAGGAAUUCUUCUCUUCAUUCCAUUCUGGGCCCAACACGUGAUUCCGGCUAACCUCAGUUCAGAAGCUGAUAAAUACCGCAUCCAGUACGUCCAUCUCUCCAGAAAGCAAUCAUUAAAAAGGCUCCCAAGCUCCGCCUGAGGAAGAACCACACACCAAAUCUGCUUUACCUACGGGCACCGAACCAGCGCAUGAUCAGUUGUCUCAACUUUUAAAGAACACCUCGGACAAACUGGUGUCACCUCCAUCCCUUUCUUCUGAAGAUUAUUAAGCACAGGGAUGAUGUUAUGGCACACUUUCCACAUAAACACUUGAAUUUUAGGUGGCAUCUGGAUUUUCCAAACCUUCCUCCACCAAACUUCAUUGUUACUGUUACUUGUUGAGUGCAUCAGUAGCUUAUGUCUCAUUUCUGUUU